GGAGAAAAGCAGGGGAUCUCAAGACCUUGCGCGAAUGGAGCGGCCGAUGGCACAUUAGGUAAUUGGUGAGGUAAAGGCUCACCAGGCCUUCAAUCUGUAGCUGGUCUGACAGGACUACCAGCCUCACUGGGACUGAUACACUGACCAUACUCCUACGGGAGGCAUCAUUGGGGAAUUUUGGACAAUGGGCGAAAGUCCUGAUCCAGCCAUGCCACGUGCACGUAGUAGCAACGCCUUCGCGUUGUACAUACUGCUUUUGUACGGAACGAAACGGCCUUUUCUAAUAAAGAGGGCUAAUGACGGUACCGUAAGAAUAAGCACCGGCUAACUACGUGCCAGCAGCCGCGGUAAUACGUAGGGUGCAAGCGUUAAUCGGAAUUACUGGGCGUAAAGCGUGCGCAGGCGGUUAUGUAAGACAGUUGUGAAAUCCCCGGGCUCAACCUGGGAACUGCAUCUGUGACUGCAUAGCUAGAGUACGGUAGAGGGGGAUAGAAUUCCGCGUGUAGCAGUGAAAUGCGUAGAUAUGUGGAGGAACACCGAUGGCGAAGGCAGCCCCCUGGGUCAAGAUUGACGCUCAUGCACGAAAGCGUGGGGAGCAAACAGGAUUAGAUACCCUGGUAGUCCACGCCCUAAACGAUGUCUACUAGUUGUCGGGUUUUAAUUAACUUGGUAACGCAGCUAACGCGUGAAGUAGACCGCCUGGGGAGUACGGUCGCAAGAUUAAAACUCAAGGGAAUUGACGGGGACCCGCACAAGCGGUGGAUGAUGUGGAUUAAUUCGAUGCAACGCGAAAAACCUUACCUACCCUUGACAUGGACGGAAGCCACGAGAGAUCGAGGUGUGCUCGAAAGAGAACCGUCACACAGGUGCUGCAUGGCUGUCGUCAGCUCGUGUCGUGAGAUGUUGGGUUAAGUCCCGCAACGAGCGCAACCCUUGUCAUUAGUUGCUACGAAAGAGCACUCUAAUGAGACUGCCGGUGACAAACCGGAGGAAGGUGGGGAUGACGUCAAGUCCUCAUGGCCCUUAUAGGUGGGGCUACACACGUCAUACAAUGGCUGGUACAAAGGGUUGCCAACCCGCGAGGGGGAGCUAAUCCCAUAAAACCAGUCGUAGUCCGGAUCGGAGUC
rnacentral:rRNA from 1 species